rfam:Triticum aestivum genome assembly, contig: Triticum_aestivum_CS42_TGACv1_scaffold_306623_4AS
GGCAUACUCCCUCUGUCCCAAAAUUCUUGUCUUAGAUUUGUCCAAAUACAGAUGCACCAAGUAACGUUUUAGUAUUAGAUACAUCCGUAUCUAGACAAAUUUAAAACAAUAAUUUUGGGACGAAGGGAGUAUUAU